UUUUGCCUGCCCAUUGAAAGUUUUUAAAAGGCCGCAGUAUUUUGACUGUGCUAAGGUAGCAUAAUCAUUAGAUUUUUAAUUGAAAUCUCGAAUGAAUGGUAAUAUGAGAUAAAUUCUUUUUUAUUUUAAAUAAGGAAUUUUAUUUUUUAGUUAAAAAGCUGAAAUUUAAUAAGGGGACGAGAAGACCCUAUAGAAUUUUAUAAUAUUAAUGUAAUUAAAAAUUUAAAUUUUUUUUUAUUAUAGUGAGAUUAUUUUGUUGGGGCGAUAAUUAAAUUUGUUUAACUUUUUAUUUGACAUUCAAUUAUUAUUGUUAAUAUGAUCUUAUUUUAUUGAUUAAAAAAUUAAAUUACCUUAGGGAUAACAGCAUAAUAUUAUUAAGAAGUUCUUAUUUUUAAUAAUGUUUAUGACCUCGAUGUUGGAUUAAAUAAAAUUAUUUUAUGAAGAAAUAUAAGUAAUAAGUCUGUUCGACUUUUAAUUAUUUACAUGAUCUGAGUUCAAACCGGUGUAAGCCAGGUCGGUUUCUAUCU
rnacentral:rRNA from 1 species